AACAGGAUUAGAUACCCUGGUAGUCCACGCCGUAAACGAUGUCGACUUGGAGGUUGUGCCCUUGAGGCGUGGCUUCCGGAGCUAACGCGUUAAGUCGACCGCCUGGGGAGUACGGCCGCAAGGUUAAAACUCAAAUGAAUUGACGGGGGCCCGCACAAGCGGUGGAGCAUGUGGUUUAAUUCGAUGCAACGCGAAGGACCUUACCUACUCUUGACAUCCAGAGAACUUAGCAGAGAUGCUUUGGUGCCUUCGGGAACUCUGAGACAAGUGCUGCAUGGCUGUCGUCAGCUCGUGUUGUGAAAUGUUGGGUUAAGUCCCGCAACGAGCGCAACCCUUAUCCUUUGUUGCCAGCGGUUAGGCCGGGAACUCAAAGGAGACUGCCAGUGAUAAACUGGAGGAAGGUGGGGAUGACGUCAAAUCAUCAUGGCCCUUACGAGUAGGGCUACACACGUGCUACAAUGGCGCAUACAAAGGGAAGCGACCUCGCGAGAGCAAGCGGACCUCAUAAAGUGCGUCGUAGUCCGGAUUGGAGUCUGCAACUCGACUCCAUGAAGUCGGAAUCGCUAGUAAUCGUGGAUCAGAAUGCCACGGUGAAUACGUUCCCGGGCCUUGUACACACCGCCCGUCACACCAUGGGAGUGGGUUGCAAAAGAAGUAGGUAGCUUAACCUUCGGGAGGGCGCUUACCACUUUGUGAUUCAUGACUGGGGUGAAGUCGUAACAAGGUAACC
rnacentral:rRNA from 1 species